rnacentral:misc_RNA from 1 species
ACCGAUUGAAUGGUUUAGCAAGGUCCUCGGAUUGGUGCCAUUGCAGUGGCUUCGGCCGCUCGACCGGUGCUGAGAAGACGACCAAACUUGAUCAUUUAGAGGAAGUAAAAGUCGUAACAAGGUUUCCGUAGGUGAACCUGCGGAAGGAUCAUUACCUGAAAAUCUACUCUUACACAAGCGAUACACGUGUGACCGUCAUGUCAUGCGAUAAAAAUUUGCGGACGGCUAUGCCUGGCUCAUUGAGGUCACAGCAUAUCCGAUCACUGAUGGGGUGCCUACCUGUAUGAUACUCCGAUGGUAUGCUUGCGUCUCUCGGGGCGCUUGUCCAAGCCAGGAGAACGGGUUGUACUGCCAUGAUUGGUAGUGCUAGGCUUAAAGAGGAGAUUUGGGCUACGGCCCUGCUCCCGCCCUAUGAACUGUUUCAUUACUACAAUUACACUGUUAAAGUGGUAUUGAAUGGCUUGCCAUUCUUUGCCAUUGCCCUCGCAU